GACAUUUGUAAGAGGAUACUGAUGACAUUAUUUCCUAUGAAAGUGUUUCCACUUUCCAUAAGUCCUAACAGUGUAAAUUUCUGGCAUUUUGUCUAAGUAGUGUUUACUACCAUUACUGUAACAGUGACCUGCUCAUAAUUUUUCGUGUUCACUCAAAUGUUGAAAUUAAACAAAAUGUUUUUGUUACUUGCCUCUUGCAUUGCCUAUUUACCAUUUAUGGUCAUGUUAUUUUAUGUGCAAUUGAAUGCAGUAUUUUUCAACCUUGGUCCGCAAGGCAGUUUGCCAAUAGUCAGACACACCUGGAUUAAUCAGUUUGUCCAAUGAUGUAAGACAGGAAAUAAAAGAGCUGUGCUUAAUUCAGGAAAUAGUGAAGUUGUGCACAAAGCUCAGAAAGCACAAGUUUGUUUAAAAAAAAAUAGCACAGCCCCACCAAAAAUAUUUUUCACCAGCCGCCACUGUUCCUAAAUUAUCAGACAGCCAAGCUACUGUCCUGGACUCGCCACUAACAUCAGCUGAGCUCCAGGAAACCCUUAAAGAGCAAGUAACGUCUAAAUUAACUUUUUUUUUUGCUGAUGAACUGUAUAAAUGAGUGUCUAAUAGUGUUUUAAAUGUGUGCAUUCUUUAUUUUAGCAUUUUGGUGCAUUUUCUUUAAAAAUUAAAAAUUCUGUCUAAAAACCACAGUAAUGCGCCACCUUCAGCUGAAAACAUAGAAUUUGAGUCAUUUUGAAUAAAUUUUAGCCAAUGGCUAAAGAGUAAAGUACUAUGUAAACCAGUAGAGUACUACGUAGCAGCUCCGUGCCAAAGUUAUAAAAACAACGAGCGUCUUGGCCACGCCAAGUGGCGAGUGGGAGUUGGAUUUGCAAGCGAGUGUAGGAGGUCAGCGGUACUUCAGCAUUAGCAUAUAGCAUUAGCAUAUCCUAGUCUUAGCAUAUCUUUUAGUGUUAUAAAUACUUAUUUAGUGUUAGAUUUGGCUGUUGGAUAUUGUAGUUUAGUUAGUGUUUGGCUGUUAGUGUAAUUGGGAAAGUAUUUCGGGUUUAGUGCUCCAUAUCGUCUUAGUAUUGGUGAGUAGGUGUAGUGUAGUAUGCUUGCGGUGACUCUGUGGGCAUUUUACCCGCGAUUCUGCACGUCUCCGUUUGAAGAGGGAGGCUGCCCACCGUGGCUCUUCCGCGAUUUAGAUGCAGCCCACCGACUCUGCUCCCCCACCACGGCGGGCUCCAGUCUGAGGUGAGUCAGCUAAAUAAACGUUUUAACAUCUUCUAAAGACAAUUCCCUACCUAAAUGCAAAGUCUGAGAGACGUGGUUCACUUCCUUUAGCUAGUCAGUCGGCAAUUCUGCAACAGUGGCUCUAACUGACGCAGCACUUGACAGACAGCAUUACAGCGUGAAAUCCAGCUUGUGAACAGGUUCUGUGAGGAAUUCUGUUCAGGAGGUCGCAUUUCAGGCUCUCCACAUCAUAUGUGACUGACUUUUACGUUAUAAUGAUCACACACUAGGAAUGUUAUAAAGCGCCUAUAUAGGACAGUUUCUUUUGUAUAUUAUCUGACUUUAUAAACUCCCAACAACAAUGUGCUUCUAUUUUUUUUCAGGCUAAAUCUACCCAAGACACUGGCUGUCAGACUGAUUUAGCUGCAAGAAUGCACUUGUCCAGGCUGACGUGAAACCUUCCCUGUAGCAAAGCCAGCCAGAAUGGAGUUCACAGCCGCAGUGUGUCUGGUGACCCACGGGGACCAUGAUGAAAAUUCAUCUUCCAGAAGGUCCCAGAGCAGCGGCCACACCCCCUGAAAAGACCAAGAUGUGAGGUGUCUGCUGUUGAUUCCAGCUUCCACCUCAGUGACAGUGCAAGCUCAGUGAACUGUUCAAGGACACUCAGCAAAAUAUGGACUCUACACCAUGAGGCAGGCACACGUUAAUAACUCUAUAAGAGCACAUAAGCCUGGCUGAUCACCUGAUAACUCCUGUCAUCUGGUUAUGACAGCAUGAGGAUGUCCUCACACACCUGUAACCUAUCAGCUCAUCUGGCAGAAUAGAGAGAGAAGAGACAACACCACAUCUCCUGUUCCUGGAAAGCCUUCAGCCAUCCUUUGAUGACUGAGAACCUCCAUCAGCUCUGUCUCCUGUCUGCCUACUAUUAUAAUAAAUAUUGUGUUUGACAAGUUUUUUGUGCUGCCAAAUAUCUCAUAGAUUCCAGUUUUGAUAUUUUAAUGGAUAUUUAUAAAUUACAUUAAUUGAAUUAUCACAAUGCAUGUUUAACUUGCUCUAUUGUGAUGAAUUAAACUAGCACCUCACUGUUAAAAGCUCGUUUUA